AACCAGUUCAGUGACUGGCCAAAUCCUGUAGUGCCGACCCCCUUUGAAUUGAUUGGUCUGCAUUAGCAGUGUUUCAGUGAGGCUGCUUCUUGACUGGGGCCCUGCAAUUAGGUUUCAAGUCCAGUAUCCGUGUGGGGUUUGGUCUGGGAGUACAGGGCAGGAGCCGGUGGCUCACCCCCAUGGUCACUCAGGCAGGAGCAGAGAUCGGGGCUCCACAGCAGCUUGGUGGAGGUAUAUCCAUGGGAAUCCAGGCCAGGAGCAGUGACUGGCACUCCCCAGCAGCUCGGCAGAGCUGCAUCAACUCUGCAAAGGGCCCUUCGCAAUGCAGAUGGAACCGGUGACCCCAGCAGACAGUGACAUCGAGGGAGACGAUGCACUCAAAUUCCAGGGGACAAACCUCUUUUGGGUCAAGACUCCUCCGCUCCUGGACUGCCAAACCUGGGGUUGAAGGCUCCCCACUAGGGGAGCUGGAGUUUUCUUGAGACUCAGCCAGGCCGAGGUUAAUCACUGCAGAAAGAGAUGAGCAGCUCUGUGUAUCAUCCCCCCACACCCAUACUCCAGCAGGGCUUCUCUGACUUGGAUUUCCUCUCUCGAGCAUGGCUGAUUGCUUUUGGCUGCAUUUCAUCUAGCAGCACUCCAGUUCCUCGAGGACAGGAGAAGGACAUCUUUAGCAGGAUAUUCAUACAUAUAAGGCCAGAGAUGACCACUGGAUCACCUAGUCUGACUUCUGGACCACCCUGGAUUAAUUCCUGUUUGAACGAGAACAUAUUUCUUUUAGGAAAACAUACACAUUUUAAGUUUUAAAAGUCCAGUCCUGGAGAAUCUACCACAAUUUUGGAUAAAUUGUUCUAAAGAUUAAUUAUGCACAAAAAACAAGUUUCAUAUCUUUGUUUCUAAACUGUAUAAUUUUUUUAUCCU